AAAAGCACAUUUAUCUGCUGCAGUGUGGAAUAUUCAGCCUGUGUUAUUACCUCUGUUGUUUGUAAACACCAACACGGACAUGAGAAAAGUGUCACUCUGUAUCAGUGUGCCGAUAUCACGUCGAAAAUAUCUGGCAAUCCCAACUUUAGUGUUUCCAGUCUAAUUAUUAUGCGUACACGGAGCUGUGGGGAGUUUAUGAUCGUGUUUGGAUGCAGAGAGUCUCUGACCGCGGCCUGUAAAUCUGACUGUACGUGCCUGGCACUGAUUAGUUAGCUUUUACAGCUAACUGAUGUGUCCCUUUGUAAACCAUAGGUUGCUCAAGUGUCCGUAUGUUAUAAUGUGUUAUAAAUUCCCCGUUUCUUCAUUUCUAAAUUAACUAUUCGUGUCGAUAGUCGUGAUAUUUUCUGUGAUGUUUGACAAUUCAGAAUGGGCCAGCAGCUGCUGAGGAGAACCGUUAGCCAGCUAGCCGCGACCUGAUUCUAGCACAUGCACCUCACAGGGGCGUACCCUGUUUGUCCAUGUCCCACUUGGGGUGGCCAGGGCUCAUUCUUAAUCUUGUUGGCCACCCCAGAUGCCAAUCCAAAAUCUUAACAGUUAUUGACUAUUGAACUUGUCAGACCUAGGAUUUCUGUUCAAAUAAGCUCUGUUGGUUUGUUUCACCAUCUCUGAGGUCGUCCGCCUCUGGGAAUGAAGUCACAAUGAGUUGGAUGCAUAGAUUGUAUAUAGAAUGGACGCUGUCUGCCUCCUCGCUGGGUGAAGCCACUCUGAGAACAGCACCCCCUGGUGACGGGCUGCGGUAUAGUUCAGAAAUGUAGUUACUGUAAGACUGGUUUGUGCUCAAGUCCUCUUUUUUCAGUAAAGCUCCAUUUUUAAUUCGGGGGUUCAUGUUUUCUAUGAUUGACACUGAUACAGCCUAUGGGCGUACGAAGAUUGCGUAGCUCACCCGGGAGAUACACUGUUUGAGCCGAGCAUUAUCACAGCGACUCUCGGCGACUCUCCCGCCGAAUGCGCACAAUGCCACUGCGCUAGUGGUGGAGUGCGUACAACGUUACUGCGUAAAGUUAGUUUAAGGAAAUGGAGAGAAAACACAGAAGUACCGAGAGCUUUUUGGCUUCAAAUCCAUUUACUGGCGCAAGGCGGAACCAAGUUGUCCAUAGUAUAUGGUUGGUCGUAUCGCCAUUAGCUCCUCUUGUCUAAAUUAGAUAAAUUGGCUGAUUGGCUGUGUUUUUGUCCAAUGCUAUUGCUAAUACAUGUAUUUUGCAGAGCUAUAGAAAAAUAUUUGUUCUAUGUUCUGGGCUUGUGAAUAGCCUUUGCCAAGCGUGAUAGCCUUAACAGAUGGGAAUUACUUUUUUAAGCAAGUGUACUGGUCAGACCAUUUGGGUUGCAUGUUGGCCUUUGACCAAGAAGUUGAGUAACAUAAAUAUGUUUCAGGGGUAGGUAAUAAAACAAAAACAUGCAGAUUAGAGUUGUAAAGUUUCCAUUGUGACCUGUUUACUCCUUACUUACAAAUACAAACAUCUGUCAGUAAAUGAAUUCUUGCUCAAUGUUCGUGAUCUGGGAUAAGGACAGGAAUCCAAUUAAUUGCCUAAUGAAGCUAUAGCCAUAGCUGUUAAAUGUGCAUGUGACAUACUGCCAGGAAAAAGAAAUAAGUCUUGUGGAAAAAAAAAAGAUUUGAAUGCAACACACUCUUAAAAAUAUCAUGAUGGUCUCAUAUAUUAUUGUAUAAUAUACAGUAUACCUGUGUAGUGAAUAGAUUUUUGGAGAGAAUUCUUUUAAUCUAAAUUAGUUAAAGUACUUUAUUAAUAAAUCUAUCUAUUAAAUCUAACUUGUGGGUGCCAUCAUAUGUGCCAUGGAUGAUGGAGUGUGCCACUUGUCUCCAUACAAAGGUGGGAGUCCACUAUCAGUGUCACAUCAGUACCACAUAUUAUAUUUUAAAUCAAUUGUCAUCUUUCUAUAUGGAAUUAUCAUAGGAAAAAGUGUGCAUGUUUUUCAUGUAAGUGUGGUUGUUAAGUAUCCCUGGAGUUAUAGCAAAGUAGGACUGUCAGCGAUAUUGCAUUAAUCACAAGACACUGAGUCCUGAAAUUUACAUGUUAUUUCUUCUUAUUGCUUUCCAUUGUGUCUCUUUCUGCUCCCCAAAGAAAAGUUGCCUCGGGGUCUUCCUGCUGUCUUCUACCACCAUCGUGGAAAAUAACACAGGGAUGUUUCUUUUCAAGUGCAUAUUUCACUAAAAAGCUCACAGGUGACUCAGUUGAUGAGUCAAAGGUAAUAUGCACAUUCUGUCAAAGGGAAUUAAGUUAUCACCAAAAUAUUUAGAGUUUGAGCCACCAUCCACAAGCUAAGCAUAAAGGAGCUAUUAAUCAGUCGUUACAUGGCCAUGUUCUUGCAAAUGUAACCAGUAAGGUUGUAUUUGAGAUUAUCUCAGCUCUCAGCCUGACUACUAUAGCCAGUAAAUCAGCCAUUAUUGUGAUGUGAUCCUGAACUGUCUUUAGGGUUUAAGUAGGCUAAAAGUUCUGCAUUAAAAUGUUUGGUCUUUCCCAUUUAACAUAAUAACAUUUAGUCAGGUUUGGUGUGCAAUAUGAUACUAUAUGUUGUGUGAGUUGCACUGGCCAUUUUUAGGAUAUAAGCAUUAGUUUAUGUGAUAGUCAAAUUGAUAUGUUUGCUGUUGUGUGUUUAGAGUCUUGUAAACCUGAACUUCUGAGUAUUAAACAGUAUGGUGUUAAUGACAGAAGUGGACAACUUGCAAUUAAAUUGCAUAGAUGUAUUUCUAAAAAUCUAAUCCUAACAGUACCAGUUCUAAUAUAUUCUAAGUCCUGUUUAUUAAGCCUUCUGUUUGAGCCAUUAUUGUGCAAAGAGCUGGAACAUCUGGCUCUCCUGCAGCAGGUUAUGAUCCCCUCUUUAAUUUCUAUGGUGGGCAGCUGCAGGAUCACUCUGCAUUGGUCUGUCUGAAUCCAGCUGCUCUCAUCUGUACAUGUGAGGGUUAGUGCUUCUGUGUGGAAGGCCAGACUGACAGACUGCAAACACAGAUAAAAAUGUAAAAAGCUAAAAAAGAGCCAACUGCUGCUUUCAAUCUUGAGUACAGCACAUACACAUAAUCAGCAUAUUCUAAUCAAAAUGUUAAAAACAACAAACUCACACCCAUUGUCAAGUGCAACGUAACCCCAUAUCAAUA